CCUCACACAAGCCCUUGGGACACAGCAUCUCAUUAACUCUCCCAGUGACCUAAGAACACGGCACCCUCGCUUUUCAGGGGAAAAAACUCAGCGGAGAGGAACCUCCUACUCCAAUCAAGACUCUUCCCAUCUUACUCCUCCUGCGUGAAGCCGGGCCAGCUGUGGGACUGCUCUGGCCAGUAGCAUGCCUCUGCAGGAUGCUCUGUGGCUUCCAAGGCUGGGUCAGAAGGAGGACCCCAGCCACCCGGCAUUGUAGGUUAAAGUGGACCAAACAGCGGGCGAGGGCGGCAGUGUACACGUAUAUCCAGCAACAGAAACGCGUUUCGCUGUGGGGGAGAUCACGAGUGUGGAUGAUGCCCAGCUGCCGUCAAAACCUACCCGACUUCCGCAACCCUGGACUGGGCCCAGCGCGCGUUGGUAGGGACGCGCUCCCACCGUUGCCAGGGCUUGUGGCUGC